GAUUCACAAAGAGAUUUAUUCCAAGAAAACAGUAAGACGUGGCGGUCAAAAAAAUCAUCAAUAUAUGAUAAAAAAGAAUUGCAAUCUCGAUUCAUCUUAGUGGCUGCAAUGGUGGGGAUUCUAGAGUCUCGAUGGGUGGCGGAUUGAAAGGGAUGGAGGAUUUGGUAAAAGAGAGAGAGGUUGGAUCGGAGAUGCCCCGAUAGUGCCAUUGGGAAAGUCCUAGGAUUUUGCGUCUG
rnacentral:lncRNA from 1 species